GGGUUGUGAGGUUAAGCGACUAAGCGUACACGGUGGAUGCCCUGGCAGUCAGAGGCGAUGAAGGACGUGCUAAUCUGCGAAAAGCGUCGGUAAGGUGAUAUGAACCGUUACAGCCGGCGAUGUCCGAAUGGGGAAACCCAGUGCAAUUCGUUGCACUAUCGUUAACUGAAUACAUAGGUUAACGAGGCGAACCGGGGGAACUGAAACAUCUAAGUACCCCGAGGAAAAGAAAUCAACCGAGAUUCCCCCAGUAGCGGCGAGCGAACGGGGAGCAGCCCAGAGUCUGAAUCAGCUUGUGUGUUAGUGGAACGGUCUGGAAAGUCCGACGGUACAGGGUGAUAGUCCCGUACACCAAAAUGCACAGGUUGUGAACUCGAAGAGUAGGGCGGGACACGUGGUAUCCUGUCUGAAUAUGGGGGGACCAUCCUCCAAGGCUAAAUACUCCUGACUGACCGAUAGUGAACCAGUACCGUGAGGGAAAGGCGAAAAGAACCCCGGCGAGGGGAGUGAAAAAGAACCUGAAACCGUGUACGUACAAGCAGUGGGAGCACCUUUAUGGUGUGACUGCGUACCUUUUGUAUAAUGGGUCAGCGACUUAUAUUCUGUAGCAAGGUUAACCGUAUAGGGGAGCCGCAGGGAAACCGAGUCUUAACUGGGCGUUAAGUUGCAGGGUAUAGACCCGAAACCCGGUGAUCUAGCCAUGGGCAGGUUGAAGGUUGGGUAACACUAACUGGAGGACCGAACCGACUAAUGUUGAAAAAUUAGCGGAUGACUUGUGGCUGGGGGUGAAAGGCCAAUCAAACCGGGAGAUAGCUGGUUCUCCCCGAAAGCUAUUUAGGUAGCGCCUCGUGAAUUCAUCUUCGGGGGUAGAGCACUGUUUCGGCUAGGGGGUCAUCCCGACUUACCAACCCGAUGCAAACUACGAAUACCGAAGAAUGUUAUCACGGGAGACACACGGCGGGUGCUAACGUCCGUCGUGAAGAGGGAAACAACCCAGACCGCCAGCUAAGGUCCCAAAGUCAUGGUUAAGUGGGAAACGAUGUGGGAAGGCACAGACAGCCAGGAUGUUGGCUUAGAAGCAGCCAUCAUUUAAAGAAAGCGUAAUAGCUCACUGGUCGAGUCGGCCUGCGCGGAAGAUGUAACGGGGCUAAACCAUGCACCGAAGCUGCGGCAGCGACACGAUGUGUUGUUGGGUAGGGGAGCGUUCUGUAAGCCUGCGAAGGUGGCCUGUGAGGGCUGCUGGAGGUAUCAGAAGUGCGAAUGCUGACAUAAGUAACGAUAAAGCGGGUGAAAAGCCCGCUCGCCGGAAGACCAAGGGUUCCUGUCCAACGUUAAUCGGGGCAGGGUGAGUCGACCCCUAAGGCGAGGCCGAAAGGCGUAGUCGAUGGGAAACAGGUUAAUAUUCCUGUACUUGGUGUUACUGCGAAGGGGGGACGGAGAAGGCUAUGUUAGCCGGGCGACGGUUGUCCCGGUUUAAGCAUGUAGGCUGGUUAUCCAGGCAAAUCCGGAUAAUCAAGGCUGAGGUGUGAUGACGAGGCACUACGGUGCUGAAGUAACAAAUGCCCUGCUUCCAGGAAAAGCCUCUAAGCAUCAGGUAACAUCAAAUCGUACCCCAAACCGACACAGGUGGUCAGGUAGAGAAUACCAAGGCGCUUGAGAGAACUCGGGUGAAGGAACUAGGCAAAAUGGUGCCGUAACUUCGGGAGAAGGCACGCUGGUGUGUAGGUGAAGUCCCUGCGGAUGGAGCUGAGACCAGUCGAAGAUACCAGCUGGCUGCAACUGUUUAUUAAAAACACAGCACUGUGCAAACACGAAAGUGGACGUAUACGGUGUGACGCCUGCCCGGUGCCGGAAGGUUAAUUGAUGGGGUUAUCCGUAAGGAGAAGCUCUUGAUCGAAGCCCCGGUAAACGGCGGCCGUAACUAUAACGGUCCUAAGGUAGCGAAAUUCCUUGUCGGGUAAGUUCCGACCUGCACGAAUGGCGUAAUGAUGGCCAGGCUGUCUCCACCCGAGACUCAGUGAAAUUGAACUCGCUGUGAAGAUGCAGUGUACCCGCGGCAAGACGGAAAGACCCCGUGAACCUUUACUAUAGCUUGACACUGAACAUUGAGCCUUGAUGUGUAGGAUAGGUGGGAGGCUUUGAAGCGUGGACGCCAGUCUGCGUGGAGCCAACCUUGAAAUACCACCCUUUAAUGUUUGAUGUUCUAACGUGGGCCCCUAAUCGGGGUUGCGGACAGUGUCUGGUGGGUAGUUUGACUGGGGCGGUCUCCUCCCAAAGCGUAACGGAGGAGCACGAAGGUUAGCUAAUCCUGGUCGGACAUCAGGAGGUUAGUGCAAUGGCAUAAGCUAGCUUGACUGCGAGCGUGACGGCGCGAGCAGGUGCGAAAGCAGGUCAUAGUGAUCCGGUGGUUCUGAAUGGAAGGGCCAUCGCUCAACGGAUAAAAGGUACUCCGGGGAUAACAGGCUGAUACCGCCCAAGAGUUCAUAUCGACGGCGGUGUUUGGCACCUCGAUGUCGGCUCAUCACAUCCUGGGGCUGAAGUAGGUCCCAAGGGUAUGGCUGUUCGCCAUUUAAAGUGGUACGCGAGCUGGGUUUAGAACGUCGUGAGACAGUUCGGUCCCUAUCUGCCGUGGGCGCUGGAGAAUUGAGGGGGGCUGCUCCUAGUACGAGAGGACCGGAGUGGACGCAUCACUGGUGUUCGGGUUGUCAUGCCAAUGGCACUGCCCGGUAGCUAAAUGCGGAAGAGAUAAGUGCUGAAAGCAUCUAAGCACGAAACUUGCCCCGAGAUGAGUUCUCCCUGAGACUUUAAGUCUCCUGAAGGAACGUUGAAGACGACGACGUUGAUAGGCCGGGUGUGUAAGCGCAGCGAUGCGUUGAGCUAACCGGUACUAAUGAACCGUGAGGCUUAACCUUACAACGCCGAAG
rnacentral:rRNA from 1 species